AAACUAACAAGGAUUCCCCUAGUAGCGGCGAGCGAAGCGGGAAGAGCUCAAAUUUAUAAUCUGGCACCUUCGGUGUCCGAGUUGUAAUCUCUAGAAAUGUUUUCCGCGUUGGACCGCACACAAGUCUGUUGGAAUACAGCGGCAUAGUGGUGAGACCCCCGUAUAUGGUGCGGACGCCCAGCGCUUUGUGAUACAUUUUCGAAGAGUCGAGUUGUUUGGGAAUGCAGCUCAAAUUGGGUGGUAAAUUCCAUCUAAAGCUAAAUAUUGGCGAGAGACCGAUAGCGAACAAGUACCGUGAGGGAAAGAUGAAAAGCACUUUGGAAAGAGAGUUAACAGUACGUGAAAUUGUUGGAAGGGAAACGCUUGAAGUCAGACUUGCUUGCCGAGCAAUCGGUUUGCAGGCCAGCAUCAGUUUUCCGGGAUGGAUAAUGGUAAAGAGAAGGUAGCAGUUUCGGCUGUGUUAUAGCUCUCUACUGGAUACAUCCUGGGGGACUGAGGAACGCAGUGUGCCUUUGGCGGGGGUUUCGACCUCUUCACACUUAGGAUGCUGGUGGAAUGGCUUUAAACGAC
rnacentral:rRNA from 2 species